AGCGUACACGGUGGAUGCCCUGGCAGUCAGAGGCGAUGAAGGACGUGCUAAUCUGCGAUAAGCGUCGGUGAGGUGAUAUGAACCGUUAUAACCGGCGAUUUCCGAAUGGGGAAACCCAGUGUGUUUCGACACACUAUCAUUAACUGAAUCCAUAGGUUAAUGAGGCGAACCGGGGGAACUGAAACAUCUAAGUACCCCGAGGAAAAGAAAUCAACCGAGAUUCCCCCAGUAGCGGCGAGCGAACGGGGAGGAGCCCAGAGCCUGAAUCAGUGUGUGUGUUAGUGGAAGCGUCUGGAAAGGCGCGCGAUACAGGGUGACAGCCCCGUACACAAAAAUGCACAUAUUGUGAGCUCGAUGAGUAGGGCGGGACACGUGGUAUCCUGUCUGAAUAUGGGGGGACCAUCCUCCAAGGCUAAAUACUCCUGACUGACCGAUAGUGAACCAGUACCGUGAGGGAAAGGCGAAAAGAACCCCGGCGAGGGGAGUGAAAAAGAACCUGAAACCGUGUACGUACAAGCAGUGGGAGCCUCUUUAUGGGGUGACUGCGUACCUUUUGUAUAAUGGGUCAGCGACUUAUAUUCUGUAGCAAGGUUAACCGAAUAGGGGAGCCGAAGGGAAACCGAGUCUUAACUGGGCGUUAAGUUGCAGGGUAUAGACCCGAAACCCGGUGAUCUAGCCAUGGGCAGGUUGAAGGUUGGGUAACACUAACUGGAGGACCGAACCGACUAAUGUUGAAAAAUUAGCGGAUGACUUGUGGCUGGGGGUGAAAGGCCAAUCAAACCGGGAGAUAGCUGGUUCUCCCCGAAAGCUAUUUAGGUAGCGCCUCGUGAAUUCAUCUCCGGGGGUAGAGCACUGUUUCGGCAAGGGGGUCAUCCCGACUUACCAACCCGAUGCAAACUGCGAAUACCGGAGAAUGUUAUCACGGGAGACACACGGCGGGUGCUAACGUCCGUCGUGAAGAGGGAAACAACCCAGACCGCCAGCUAAGGUCCCAAAGUCAUGGUUAAGUGGGAAACGAUGUGGGAAGGCCCAGACAGCCAGGAUGUUGGCUUAGAAGCAGCCAUCAUUUAAAGAAAGCGUAAUAGCUCACUGGUCGAGUCGGCCUGCGCGGAAGAUGUAACGGGGCUAAACCAUGCACCGAAGCUGCGGCAGCGACACUAUGUGUUGUUGGGUAGGGGAGCGUUCUGUAAGCCUGUGAAGGUGGCCUGUGAGGGUUGCUGGAGGUAUCAGAAGUGCGAAUGCUGACAUAAGUAACGAUAAAGCGGGUGAAAAGCCCGCUCGCCGGAAGACCAAGGGUUCCUGUCCAACGUUAAUCGGGGCAGGGUGAGUCGACCCCUAAGGCGAGGCCGAAAGGCGUAGUCGAUGGGAAACAGGUUAAUAUUCCUGUACUUGGUGUUACUGCGAAGGGGGGACGGAGAAGGCUAUGUUGGCCGGGCGACGGUUGUCCCGGUUUAAGCGUGUAGGCUGGUUUUCCAGGCAAAUCCGGAAAACCAAGGCUGAGGCGUGAUGACGAGGCACUACGGUGCUGAAGCGACAAAUGCCCUGCUUCCAGGAAAAGCCUCUAAGCAUCAGGUAACAUCAAAUCGUACCCCAAACCGACACAGGUGGUCAGGUAGAGAAUACCAAGGCGCUUGAGAGAACUCGGGUGAAGGAACUAGGCAAAAUGGUGCCGUAACUUCGGGAGAAGGCACGCUGAUAUGUAGGUGAAGCGACUUGCUCGUGGAGCUGAAAUCAGUCGAAGAUACCAGCUGGCUGCAACUGUUUAUUAAAAACACAGCACUGUGCAAACACGAAAGUGGACGUAUACGGUGUGACGCCUGCCCGGUGCCGGAAGGUUAAUUGAUGGGGUUAGCGGUAACGCGAAGCUCUUGAUCGAAGCCCCGGUAAACGGCGGCCGUAACUAUAACGGUCCUAAGGUAGCGAAAUUCCUUGUCGGGUAAGUUCCGACCUGCACGAAUGGCGUAAUGAUGGCCAGGCUGUCUCCACCCGAGACUCAGUGAAAUUGAACUCGCUGUGAAGAUGCAGUGUACCCGCGGCAAGACGGAAAGACCCCGUGAACCUUUACUAUAGCUUGACACUGAACAUUGAGCCUUGAUGUGUAGGAUAGGUGGGAGGCUUUGAAGUGUGGACGCCAGUCUGCAUGGAGCCGACCUUGAAAUACCACCCUUUAAUGUUUGAUGUUCUAACGUUGGCCCGUAAUCCGGGUUGCGGACAGUGUCUGGUGGGUAGUUUGACUGGGGCGGUCUCCUCCUAAAGAGUAACGGAGGAGCACGAAGGUUGGCUAAUCCUGGUCGGACAUCAGGAGGUUAGUGCAAUGGCAUAAGCCAGCUUGACUGCGAGCGUGACGGCGCGAGCAGGUGCGAAAGCAGGUCAUAGUGAUCCGGUGGUUCUGAAUGGAAGGGCCAUCGCUCAACGGAUAAAAGGUACUCCGGGGAUAACAGGCUGAUACCGCCCAAGAGUUCAUAUCGACGGCGGUGUUUGGCACCUCGAUGUCGGCUCAUCACAUCCUGGGGCUGAAGUAGGUCCCAAGGGUAUGGCUGUUCGCCAUUUAAAGUGGUACGCGAGCUGGGUUUAGAACGUCGUGAGACAGUUCGGUCCCUAUCUGCCGUGGGCGCUGGAGAACUGAGGGGGGCUGCUCCUAGUACGAGAGGACCGGAGUGGACGCAUCACUGGUGUUCGGGUUGUCAUGCCAAUGGCACUGCCCGGUAGCUAAAUGCGGAAGAGAUAAGUGCUGAAAGCAUCUAAGCACGAAACUUGCCCCGAGAUGAGUUCUCCCUGACUCCUUGA
rnacentral:rRNA from 4 species